GACGAACGCUGGCGGCGUGCUUAACACAUGCAAGUCGAACGGAAAGGCCCUGCUUUUGUGGGGUGCUCGAGUGGCGAACGGGUGAGUAACACGUGAGUAACCUGCCCUUGACUUUGGGAUAACUUCAGGAAACUGGGGCUAAUACCGGCUAGGAGCUCCUGCUGCAUGGUGGGGGUUGGAAAGUUUCGGCGGUUGGGGAUGGACUCGCGGCUUAUCAGCUUGUUGGUGGGGUAGUGGCUUACCAAGGCUUUGACGGGUAGCCGGCCUGAGAGGGUGACCGGCCACAUUGGGACUGGGAUACGGCCCAGGCGCCUACGGGAGGCAGGAGUGGGGAAUAUUGCACAAUGGGCGGAAGCCUGAUGCAGCAACGCCGCGUGCGGGAUGACGGCCUUCGGGUUGUAAACCGCUUUCGCCUGUGACGAAGCGUGAGUGACGGUAAUGGGUAAAGAAGCACCGGCUAACUACGU
rnacentral:rRNA from 1 species